UACGUAGGGGGCUAGCGUUGUCCGGAAUCAUUGGGCGUAAAGCGCGUGUAGGCGGUCCGGUAAGUCCGCUGUGAAAGUCGGGGGCUCAACCCUCGAAAGCCGGUGGAAACUGUCGGGCUAGAGUGCGGAAGAGGCGAGUGGAAUUCCUGGUGUAGCGGUGAAAUGCGCAGAUAUCAGGAGGAACACCGAUGGCGAAGGCAGGUCUCUGGGCAUUAACUGACGCUGAGGAGCGAAAGCAUGGGGGAGCGAACAGG
rnacentral:rRNA from 1 species